rnacentral:rRNA from 1 species
ACGCUGGCGGCAGGCUUACACAUGCAAGUCGAACGGAAACAGAAGUAGCUUGCUACUUUGCUGUCGAGUGGCGGCGGGUGAGUAAUGCUUGGGAAUAUGCCUUAUGGUGGGGGACAACAGUUGGAAACGACUGGUAAUACCGCAUAAUAUCUUCGGAUCAAAGUGGGGGACCUUCGGGCCUCACGCCAUGAGAGUAGCCCAAGUGGGAUUAGCUAGUUGUAAGGUAAUGGCUUACCAAGGCGACGAUCCCUAGCUGGUCUUAGAGGAUGACCAGCCAUACUGGAACUGAGACACGGUCCAGACUCCUACGGGAGGCAGCAGUGGGGAAUAUUGCACAAUGGAGGAAACUCUGAUGCACCAUGCCGCGUGUGUGAAGAAGGCUUUCGGGUUGUAAAGCACUUUCAGUGGGGAGGAAAGGUUAUUGUUUAAUAGACAAUAGCUGUGACGUUACCCACAGAAGAAGCACCGGCUAACUCCGUGCCAGCAGCCGCGGUAAUACGGAGGGUGCGAGCGUUAAUCGGAAAUACUGGGCGUAAAGCGCGCGUAGGUGGUUAAUUAAGUCAGAUGUGAAAGCCCAGGGCUCAACCCUGGAACUGCAUUUGAAACUGGUUAACUAGAGUUUUGUAGAGGGUGGUAGAAUUUCAGGUGUAGCGGUGAAAUGCGUAGAGAUCUGAAGGAAUACCAGUGGCGAAGGCGGGCCACCUGGACAAAGACAUGAUAUCUGAGGCGCGAAGGCGUGGGGAGCAAACGGGAUUAGAUACCCCGGUAGUCCACCGCACGUAAACGAUGUGCUAUUAGAAGUUUGUGGCAUAUGCCGUGGGUUUCAAAGCUAACGCAUUCAUGACCGCCUGGGGAGUACGGCCGCAAGGUAAAACUCAAAUGAAUUGACG